rnacentral:rRNA from 1 species
UUCUGACCGUAAACUAUGCCAUCUAGCGAGUUUCGGGUGGAUUCAUUCGCCCUUGGAACGAGCUUCCCGGAAACGAAAGUCUUUCGGUUCCGGGGGAAGUAUGGUUGCAAAGCUGAAACUUAAAGGGAUUGACGGAAGGUCACUACCAGAAAUGGAGCCUGCGGCUUAAUUUGACUCAACACGGGAAAACUCACCCGGUCUAGACACUAUGAGGAUUGACAGAUCGAUAGCUUUUUCAUGAUUUGGUGAUUGGUGGUGCAUGGCCGUUCUUAGUUCGUGGAUUGAUUUGUCUGGUUAAUUCCGAUAACGAGCGAGACUGGAACUCGGUUAAAUAGAAAUACCAUUUUUUAAGUGGUCAUUCUUCUUAACAGGAUCUGCGGCGUCCAGCCGUAAGAAAGCUAGCAAUAACAGGUCUGUGAUGCCCUAAGAUGUCUGGGGCUGCACGCGCGCUACAAUGGAAAUUGCAGCGCGUGUAUCCAUUCUCGAGAGAGAUUGGUAAACGAGUCAAAUUAUUCCGUAUUUGGGCUCGGAGAUUGCAAUUAUUCUCCGUUAACAAGGAACUUCAAGUAAGUGUAAGUCAUCAGCUUACGCUG